rnacentral:snRNA from 1 species
AGCUUUGCGCAGUGGCAGUAUCAUAGCCAAUGGGGUUUAUCCGAGGCAUGAUUAUUGCUAAUUGAAAAA